rnacentral:rRNA from 1 species
UACGUAGGGUCCGAGCGUUGUCCGGAAUUACUGGGCGUAAAGGGCUCGUAGGCGGUCUGUCGCGUCGGUAGUGAAAACUCAGGGCUCAACCCUGAGCGUGCUUUCGAUACGGGCAGACUAGAGGUAUGCAGGGGAGAAUGGAAUUCCUGGUGUAGCGGUGGAAUGCGCAGAUAUCAGGAGGAACACCGGUGGCGAAGGCGGUUCUCUGGGCAUUACCUGACGCUGAGGAGCGAAAGCAUGGGGAGCGAACAGGAUUAGAUACCCCUGUA